CGCCUCCCAAAAGGUAACGGAGGCGCUCAAAGGUUCUCUCAGUACGGUCGGAAAUCGUACGUAGAGUGUAAAGGCAAAAGAGAGCUUGAUUGCAAGACAUACAGGUCGAGCAAGGAUGAAAAUCGGACUUAGUGAUCCGGUGGUUCUGCGUGGAAGGGCCAUCGCUCAACGGAUAAAAGCUACCCUGGGGAUAACAGGCUUAUCUCCCCCAAGAGUCCACAUCGACGGGGAGGUUUGGCACCUCGAUGUCGGCUCAUCACAUCCUGGGGCUGUAGUAGGUCCCAAGGGUUGGGCUGUUCGCCCAUUAAAGUGGUACGCGAGCUGGGUUCAGAACGUCGUGAGACAGUUCGGUCCCUAUCCGUCGCAGGCGUAGGAAAUUUGAGAAGACCUGUCCUUAGUACGAGAGGACCGGGAUGGACGUACCUCUGGUGUACCAGUUGUUCUGCCAAGGGCAUGGCUGGGUAGCUAUGUACGGAAUGGAUAAGCGCUGAAAGCAUCUAAGCGCGAAGCCAACUUCAAGAUAAGAUUUCCCACCGCAAGGGUAAGACCCCAGAAAGACUAUCUGGUUGAUAGGUCGAAGGUGUAAGUGCAGCAAUGUAUUUAGCUUAUCGAUACUAAUAGGUCGAGGACUUGACCAA
rnacentral:rRNA from 1 species